GGGUUUAUAUGGACGGAACUCUCCGGAGGGAAGAUAUAUAAACCUAGUGGCGGACGGGUGAGUAACGCGUGGGCGACCUGCCCUGUACCGGGGGACAACAGCCAGAAAUGGCUGCUAAUACCGCAUAGGGCCUGCUGUGCCGCAUGGCACAACAGGUAAAACCACGGUGGUACAGGAUGGGCCCGCGUCUGAUUGGUUAGUUGGCGGGCUAACGGCCUACAAGACAACGAUCAGUAACCGGCUUGAGAGAGUGGACGGCCACAUUGGGACUGAUACACGGCCCAUACUCCUGCGGGAGGCAUCAUUGGGGAAUAUUGCACAAUGGGGGGAACCCUGAUGCAGCAAUGCCGCGUAGGUGAAGAAGCACUCCGCCGCGUAAAGCCCUGUCAGCAGGGAUGAAAAUGACAAAAAAAAAACAUGAAGCCCCGGCUAACUACGUGCCAACAGCCGCGGUAAUACGUAGGGGGCAAGCGUUAUCCGGAUUUACUGGGUGUAAAGGGAGCGCAGGCGGCGUGGCAAGUCAGAUGUGAAAACCCGGGGCCCAACCCCGGGAGUGCAUUUGAAACUGCCAUGCUGGAGUGCCGGAGAGGUAAGCGGAAUUCCUAGUGUAGCGGUGAAAUGCGUA
rnacentral:rRNA from 1 species